UCCUCCGUGGCGCAAUUGGCUAGCGCGUUCGACUGUUACUUGUUAGCACAUCGAGAGGUUGAAAGUUCGAGCCUUUCCGGGGGAG